rnacentral:rRNA from 1 species
CGGGACAACAUUCCAAAGGGAUGCUAAUACCGGAUGUGACGCUCCUAUCGCAUGACGGGAGCGUGAAAGAUGGCCUCUACAUGUAAGCUAUCGCUAAAGGAUGGGCCUGCGUCUGAUUAGCUAGUUGGUAGUGUAACGGACAACCAAGGCGAUGAUCAGUAGCCGGUCUGAGAGGAUGAACGGCCACAUUGGGACUGAGACACGGCCCAG